UUUCUACGGAGAGUUUGAUUCUGGCUCAGAACGAACGCUGGCGGCGUGGAUAAGACAUGCAAGUCG
rnacentral:rRNA from 1 species